GCCACUCGCAGCAGCCCCCUUCCCGAGUGGCUGUGUUGGGGGGGGGCUCUUCCUCCGAAUCGCCCCCCUUGCUCAGGUGAGGGGACCCCCCCCCGCCGGCGAAGCGCUCUCUUUCUUCAGCCCCACCCGCAGCACCCCUUCCCCAACUGGAAGUGCCCCUUUGUUCCCUCCCUCCCGCUCGCUCUCCUUGGCACUCCCGAAGUACACGCUUUCCUUAUCAACCCCCCGCUGCCCUAUCAGACUCUCCAGUCUCAGUCACCCCCCCCCCGCUUUUCCGUCCCAAGUGCUUUCCCCACCUCCCCCCACGCCACAACAUAGCCUCCUUUUAAAUUCUCAUUCACAAUCGUCCUUCCACAAUCCAGUGGAAGAUUGCCUUUAUCCCCCCCCCCCGCACACACUUUCCACUUCGCUGCCCCCCUUCCCGCACCGCGUCCCUCACCCGGCAGCCCUUGCCCCAAAAAUGUCUUUCUCCACAUCGCAACGCUCAGCUUCUCCUUCUCAGCACACGCACCCUCCACUGGACUGCUCUACUUCUCCCCACAUUUCCCCUCUGAUCCCUGUUUUUAAAAAGCACCGUUUCUCAACGGCUUUCCUUUCGGCGUGGAAAUGCCACCCUAAUUAUAAAUCUGUUGCCUGACCCAAGUCGGAGACUCCUUAACGCAUUUUCAUAGCGUGUGAAUUGUUUGGAAAUAGUGGGGUGGGGUGGCGCUUGGAGAACGCAGUUCUCCUUCCUGGAUUUUCUACUGCUGAUUUAAGAUUUCUGCAUAGGUUUUGGAGCCCUUUAAUCGUUGGGUUGGUGGUUAUCUACUGCAUCUAUUUACUUUGGCAGGGCAGCUUUUGGCUCAGGCAGCUCAGCUGGUGGAAAAACAGAAGUUCCCUAAAGAAGACUGGACUAAAAAACAACUGAAGUUGUGAAUCUUAGUUAUCAACAGCGUUUUACCAGUCAGAUAAAAAAAAUUAAAAGUUCUGACAAUAGA